rnacentral:rRNA from 1 species
CAGCCGCCACGGUAAUACGUAGGUGGCAAGCGUUGUCCGGAAUUAUUGGGCGUAAAGGGCUCGCAGGCGGUUUCUUAAGUCUGAUGUGAAAGCCCCCGGCUCAACCGGGGAGGGUCAUUGGAAACUGGGAAACUUGAGUGCAGAAGAGGAGAGUGGAAUUCCACGUGUAGCGGUGAAAUGCGUAGAGAUGUGGAGGAACACCAGUGGCGAAGGCGACUCUCUGGUCUGUAACUGACGCUGAGGAGCGAAAGCGUGGGGAGCGAACAGGAUUAGAUACCCGUGUAGUCCCUGUCUCUUAUAC